UCGGCCGGUUCCGGCUGCGCGAUCGCCUGACGGGGAAGGUGCCGUCCUUUGGCAAUGAAAUGGUUUCCUCGCCGCCUUUUGAAAAGCUGGCGCUUUGCUGCACGUCAGGAAACCAGGUGAAAACACUGCAAACAAACAGUGCAAGACUGAUGAUGUUACUCCAUUCGGAUCCUGCAACUGUGAGCAGAUGCUGCUUGAUCCCUUGAGUUUUUCCGAUAGUUGCUGUGUCUCCUGUUUGGCGAGCUUCAUUCUGAUGUGCUGAUGAGGCAGCAAGUUUGUGGAUAUUCAAAAUAAAAUGUAAAGGCCAGGAGCUUCCACUCCAAAGUAACAUCUUCUUCUUUGGCAGUCCCUCCAGUCCAAGGAUGUACUGAAGACUUCAGGCAGCUCAUUAGUCAGCAGAA